rnacentral:rRNA from 1 species
AUAGCGUAUAUUAAAGUUGUUGCAGUUAAAAAGCUCGUAGUUGAAACUUGGGUCUGGCUGGCAGGUCCGCCUCACCGCGUGUACUUUUCCGGCCGGACCUUCCUUCUGGAGAACCUCAUGCCCUUCACUGGGGGUGUGGGGGACCAGGACUUUUACUUUGAAAAAAUUAGAGUGUUCAAAGCAGGCCUUUGCUCGAAUACGUUAGCAUGGAAUAAUAGAAUAGGACGUGCGGUUCUAUUUUGUUGGUUUUUAGAGCCGCCGUAAUGAUUAAUAGGGACAGUCGGGGGCAUCAGUAUUCAAUUGUCAGAGGUGAAAUUCUUGGAUUUAUUGAAGACUAACUACUG